AAGGCCCAUUAGAUCUCCUUGCAGAAGCUAUCUCAAACCCACCCCCCUCACGGCCCCUACUCCCUACCAGCCCAAAUCAUCAUCUUUCACAGGAGCUAGAAUGUCCCCCCUUCUUCCACUCUGGCCCCCUGCCCCAUCACAAUGACUUUGAAAUGCACACCAGACACUCACCCUCCAAGGUGACAAUUCCCAGAGGCACUAAGAACAAAUGAAAUCCAGGCCCUGACCCUGGCUUACAGCCCCCCACUGGCCCCUGAAUACUUUGAUCUCACCUUGUCACUCUGAACCCCUCUUUUACUAGGUGGCAGCCACACUGGCCCUUCUGAUGCUAUAACACUCCUUCCCACAGGAUGGCCUUUGUGCUUUGUGAUUCCCUUUGGCUGGGAUUUUCCUUUCUCAAAAUUUUCCCGUGGCAGACUCCUCCUUUCUGCUCACUCAACUUGCCGCUGACAUGCCCCUCCUGCAGGAGGCGCUCCCCAACCCCCUAAUCUAAACAAGGCACUAUCUCCUCAUCCCGAUCUGCUCUUCUCAGAGCAGGAGGGUGUGUUGCGUAGGAGCACAGCCUGCAGUCACAGUGCCUGGACUCCGGGUCCAGCUCUGUGCUUUCCUGCUGUGUGACCCUGGGUAGGUCACUCCACUCUUCUGGGCUUGGUUUUCUCACACGUACAAUGGAGACAAAUACUACUUCACAGGGACGCUCUGUGACUGAGCAUCAAGGAGAACGCUUAAGAGGGAUGCCUGGCACGUAGACGGGGCCACUGAAGGCUUUGCUACCGCUACUGUUAUGGCAAUAAUUUACAUUUCCUUGUCUAUUUUCUCUCUCCCAACAGGAAUGUUAACUGCGUAAGAGAUUCUGUUCGCCUUGUUUGCUGCUGUGUCCCCAAUGGCAAGCACAUUAUAAGCACUUAGCAGAUGCUCAAUAAAUAUAUACUGAAUAAAAAAAUUCCUAUGCUCUUAUAUUUGACUGUGGUGCUAUUUCAUUUGCCUUCAGUAAACAUCUACUUACAAGGUAGUAUUUUUUUUCUUUUAAGCUCCAGGAAUUAUUUGGAAGAAAUAAAGCCAGGAAGCAAUAGUAACACUGUAUCUUGAAGAUUCCACCCAUUCUCAAUUUGUGAUGAAAAAAUAUUCCUCUUUCUCAUUUAAAAAAAACAACCAAAAAUAAAUUAAAAAUCAAGUUGUUUAAAACAAAAUCAGUCGGCUUCCUUUUUCUGCUCUAGUUUAGCUAAAGCAUUCAGAAGCAGGUUGAGCUCUCCCCUGCUCAUUUCAUGCUAGAAGUAUAACAGAUAUCUUUCCAAGAAUAUUUAAGCAACAACUGAAAGAGCAUUUUUGACAAAGCUGUGGCUAAAGAAUGGCAAAUCCACCACCUUAAGGCAUCCACCUCGUCGGUCUGAGGAAGGUCACGCAGCCCCUGCAUCUGCCAGCUACACCCAAGGCGUGAGUCGAACUGGAGCACGCUGUUGGGGAGGGAGUGGGAGCAGGGAAACCCACUCUGUGUAUUGCCCCCCUCAGGGGACUUAUUUACACACCAAUAAGCUUUGGUUGUCUAGCAUAUUAAUCGUUGAAAGAAUAAGAACUAUUUGGUUACUCGUACAGCAUAUCAAUCCACAGUUUAAUGUGUUAUAUAUUUCCAAAUUGCAAUAAUAUGGGGGUUAAGACUUCGCUAUAUCUUAGCAGGGUGGGGGAGGGGGGCGCCCACAAUCGAACCUACAACAUAUACCUAGGUACACGUUAUAUUGUUAGCUGAAGUUACACAGUUUUCAACUUGUCAAGGUCCUGUUUCCCUUUAAGGUAGACACAGGAUAUUUCUGAAUGGUGAUACUUAAUAAGAAAGGCCAUAUUCAUUGCAGCUUCCAGUUCUCUAGGCCUGUGUUAUCUCAGUGGUUACAUUAACAGCUUUAGAAUUAUGAGAAAUAUGAUUAGAUCUGGAAUCUAAAAUACCAAAUAUGCUAGACCUGUUACAAACAAGCAAUGAUUUUUUUUUCUUGCCCAUGCCACCUAAUUGCAUCUGACACUAUUUGAGCAACCCUAUGAAAUACGGAGUUAUUUUCCUCACUUUGUCGACGAGGAAUCGGGGGCUUGGCGGGACUAGGAGACCUGCCCAAGCUUACACAGCUGACGAGCGGCAGAGCUGAGGCUCCACCACAGGCGGCGCUGACUCCAGACCCACAUUUGAUGCCAUACAACUAAACGGUGCUUCGCCAGAGUUUCAUGUAAAAUUCCAUUAAACUUUACUAGAAACCUAUUUAGAUUUAUUUGGCCAAAAGAUGGGUUGGAGGUUAUCAUUUCACUUCCAUUAUUAUGUCUAUUAACAUAAUAAAGGCAAUUAGUCUUAAACUGUGAUAUAUCAAGUAAAAUUAUAUGUAUUAAAUCCUGUGUUUUUAUUUACAUAAUUUUUAAAUAAACAAACGAGGUACUCUUCUUCCCCCCAGCGAAAAGAUUCCUACUACAACCACGUGAAGUAAAGCCCUGGUGAGAAAGGGGCUUGGCCACGUGGUACAAGAGGACCACCAUGCAGCUCCGGGGUCACUUCAGGGGUGACGGUCCCCAGCAGGAAGCCCACCAACAGUUCAGUGAGGCUAUACCCCUGCCCAAAGACAGGGGGCACCACGCAAGCACAAAAGAAACUCUGAUCAUCUCCCCUCAUCUAGUCAGGCCCCCACAUUUAGAAAAUAACCACAGAAGAGCCGUGAGCUUUUAAAAACACUUCUACAGAUGCUUCUUCAAUCGCCACCAGUACCGGCGAUGGAGAGAAAUUGUAUCAUAGGAGGCGAAAAUUCGCAAUCUGUGGGUGAGAAAAAGUAUACAUAUUUCCACUUGGUAUUUUUGGCAAUAUUUCCACAUUGUUAUUUAUAAUAAGAGGCUCCCAAAUAUGUUAAAAGUGCCAAACAAAUUCUCAUGUGCAUUGUAACACCUGGACAGUGGAUUCAUAUGCCACAAUUAGACAAUUGUUUAUUCUUUCAUUUAGCAAGAUAUUAUCCUAAGAGAUUAUCUAUUGGCCUUUCAAAGCUCCAUUUCCAAUCACUGUUUUGGUUUACUAAAUGCAAUCUAGCUUGAACCUCUAAAAACAAAGCUAUCAAAUAAGCAGUAAAAUAUUAUCUACCUAGAGACCAGACCUCUGGCAUAUUUCCAAGUCCAGAAAUAGAAAAAAACUACAUACACACAUGUUCCAGGG